rnacentral:misc_RNA from 1 species
CAACCUUGGAUAUGGACAGGUUUACACAGAUUUUUGCUAAGAAAUAAUAAUAAUAAUAAAAUAUUGUAUAGUGCAUGGCGAUAAAUGUGUAUUUGUUCGCGUAGUGGAAAGUGAUUAUGGCUAAGUUACUAACCGUUUUGUUUAUCUUAGGGAAUAUACUUUUAUCGAUUGCACAAGAAGAUCACUUUAUAGACGACCCUCUUGGACACCAAGAACGUAUUGAA